GUUUAUUUGUUCUUGGAUACGGGAAUUUCCCACUUUCCAACAACUUUUAACUUGACCAACAAGGUGGAUGAAACACUCAACGCAAAUCCCAUUUUUUAGCAGACGAUAAGAUGAACUUACAACAACAAGACGAAAUAAAUAAAUAAAAUUGUAAGCUUCUAAGGGAUCUAAAAUCUAUAUACUGACACAAAUGGAGAAACUAGUUGGAAAAUUAAACAUUUCUUACAGAAAGAACAGAACUACAACAAUACAAAAGAAAGGAGAGAAAUGGGUUGCUCUUGAUUUUGUUAUCUUUCCCUACCUUUAUCACGGCCAUGGUCUGAUCUACUUCUGCUUUGUAUUAUUUUCUUGGGAUCCAACUUGCUUCCAGAACUUCCAUCUUCUCUAGCCCCCUUCUUGGCCUCUACUUCCUCUAUUUCAAUCUCAAGCUGCUGUAAAUUUUUUUCUAGUCUCUUCUUUUUUUGAUAAUCUCUACUGCUGCUUUCAAGCACUGGAGUUCUUCUCAAUCCCUCUGUACUGACAGAUUGCUCGUCUCCACCUAAAUGUAGCUUAUUUAGGUCGUCACGGGAUAUUUGCAUCUGUUUCUCUCUUUGGAAUAACUCCUGGGUUAGCAUUCUAGGAUCGGUUGCCCUGGAACCUUUGUCUUGUUCAAAGAAGAGGACUUGAACCACGGUUCUCAAUGGCAGUCGCUCGUUCUUGACAGCAUGGGCUCGCACUUCUGGAGACAACUUUUGACAGUCUAGACUUCUGCAGAGACGCUUCCUAUCUGCCUUGCUUAGAUCAGGAUGCUCCUUGAGAUAAAUGUUGAUAGCCUUGUAAAGGUUAUCAUGAUCUUUCCUGGAAAUAUCUGGCAAGGCUUCAGCAAGUGAUACUACUUUUGAUACAGGCAUGUUCUUAUCCCUUGCAACCAUUUGGAGGUAAGUGUCAAUAAGCUUUCCAAUCCUUCUAAUUGUUCUAAUAAGUUGAGUGUUUUCCACAGUUUCAGGUGGUUGUCUUCUCCAUCGCAUCAAGUAACUUUCUAUUACUGGCACAACCAAAUCAAUAUCAUAAAAAUGCUGGCUGGAGGAUGACUGUGAAGGAAAGACUAAGUCGCUCACUGUUGCCUCAUCUAUUUGCAGACUAGAUUUUCGUAUGAGUUCUGCCUUCAAAACUGGGGAUGCUCCAAGGUAGUUUGCAAUGCUCAGGAGUUUUAGUAAAAAACCAACUGAAACUGAUCCUCUGUCUGCUGGAAUCAUACUUACAAUGGCUUCAAGAAUUCUUCUGCUCUUUUCAAAAACUUCUUCAGUUUGAGACACUGAACUCUCAGGGGUUCUAAUCCUUGUAGUGUCUGGUAACCAACGACAGGCGUAUACAUGCAAUGCUUCACCGAUAAGCUGUGGUGGCAGCAUAUAUGUUGAUCUGAUGGCAGUGAUUAUACAUCUAAAGAGAUCUACAUCAAGGUUAGAUAUGUCCUCCGUCCACCAAUCCCUGGGGAUAGACUGCAGGGACUUUUUGUACCCUGGUCUGGUAUAAGUGUAGGACCAUGUGACCUGCAGAAAAUAAUUAUUUUCCUGCAAAGUUUUAGUAAUUAAUGAAACAAAUAAUUGCUUUGUUGUAAGCUAUGCAUUGUAGCAAUAACUGAAUUAACCUUCGCAGGGGGGGUAAGUAUUUUUUCGACAAUUGAAUCAAUGCAUUUUCUGAUGAUUCCAAGGUUUUCCGACCACUCAGUCAACUUUGCAGUGGUCUGAAGAGUGACAAUGGAAUCCUUCCAACCUUCAAGUAUGCAUGAAUUGAAAAAGGCCUCGAGUUUCAGAACAAAGUUUCCUUUCUCAACCGAUUCAGUCAUUUGAAGGAACUUAGCUGCACAAAAAGCAGGUACAAAAUUAUGUGCACAAACAUUGAUUGUUAUGCCAUAGCAAAACUUGGCACACAACUCAAAAGCUUCUUCUCCCCCUGGAAUGUCAUGAAGCUUCAAUGUAAUAGUGCUUGAAUCAUCAGAACCUGAACAUAGUCUUUGCAAAAGGCCACACUUUGGAAGAAGUGUAAACUGCAACUAACAGCAAAAUCAAUAAUGAUUAAGGUUAUCUUUCCUUAAAUGAGAUAGGAAGCAUUUUCUUACUUAGAACCAGUCUAUCAUAGACCCAAGACACAAUAUAAUAAGCAAAUCUUAAACCUGAAUAGGAAGCAUUCACAGAAUAAUCACUCUCAUACCUUAUGGAGAAGGUAACUAAUGUUAUUAAUCUGUAUAACAAGAUCACUGGGUACAUCCGAAAUCACAGACCUAGUAGCCUCUUCUGUAUAGAAGGUAUCUGGCCGAGUUCCAAUUUUCAUAAACUUCAUUUUUGCAAUUUUCUUUUUCUUUACCUCAAAGUUGACAAGCAACUUCACUUCGGGACAGUGGAACUUGCCCUUACAAGUCUUACCUCACUUUUCAUCCAACAAGGGUUCCAUCAUCAUCUUCACCAUGGUUUCCUGUUCAGAGUCCUAUACAAGCACUUUGGAGGUGGAAGAUGGUAGCUAGUUUUCACCAGAAGUAUCUCUGGUGAUCAGAAUCAUUUACAAAUCAACAAAGCUGCAAAUUAAUCCUUCCUGCUGCAAAAUAUUUGAGAAAGCGAGCUACAGACAUGGGAGAGCUCCACUUUCUGAUGUAAACCAGCAAAAUGGGCAAAAGAAAUGCCUUAAUUGUUUCACGCAUGAAAGCCUAAAGAAAGAGAGAGAGGGAGACUGAGAGAGAGAGAGAGAGAGAGA
rnacentral:misc_RNA from 1 species